rnacentral:rRNA from 1 species
AACGUAGGACACAAGCGUUAUCCGGAGUUACUGGGCGAAAGGGCGUGUAGGCGGAUCAAUAAGUCUAUUCUGAAAGCUCCUGGCUAAACUGGGAGAGGCGAAUGGAGACUGUUGGUCUAGAGUGAGGAAGAGGAAAGUGGAAUUCCGCGUGUAGUGGUGAAAUGCGUAGGAUAUCUGGAGGAACACCAGUGGCGAAAGGCGGUUUACCCUGGAGCUUUUG